AUUGAACGCUGGCGGCAGGCUUAACACAUGCAAGUCGAGCGGAGAUGAGGUGCUUGCACCUUAUCUUAGCGGCGGACGGGUGAGUAAUGCUUAGGAAUCUGCCUAUUAGUGGGGGACAACAUUCCGAAAGGAAUGCUAAUACCGCAUACGUCCUACGGGAGAAAGCAGGGGAUCUUCGGACCUUGCGCUAAUAGAUGAGCCUAAGUCGGAUUAGCUAGUUGAUGGGGUAAAGGCCUACCAAGGCGACGAUCUGUAGCGGGUCUGAGAGGAUGAUCCGCCACACUGGGACUGAGACACGGCCCAGACUCAUACGGGAGGCAGCAGUGGGGAAUAUUGGACAAUGGGCGGAAGCCUGAUCCAGCCAUGCCGCGUGUGUGAAGAAGGCCUUUUGGUUGUAAAGCACUUUAAGCGAGGAGGAGGCUACCUAGAUUAAUACUCUGGGAUAGUGGACGUUACUCGCAGAAUAAGCACCGGCUAACUCUGUGCCAGCCGCCGCAGUAACAC
rnacentral:rRNA from 1 species